rnacentral:rRNA from 1 species
UACGUAGGCAGCAAGCGUUGUUCGGAGUUACUGGGCGUAAAGGGUGUGUAGGCGGUCCUCUAAGUUUGGUGUGAAAUCUCCCGGCUCAACUGGGAGGGUGCGCCGAAAACUGGAGGGCUAGAGUACUGGAUGGGAGAGUGGAAUUCCUGGUGUAGCGGUGAAAUGCGUAGAUAUCAGGAGGAACACCUGUGGUGUAGACGGCUCUCUGGACAGUAACUGACGCUGAGACACGAAAAGCGUGGGUAGCAAACAGG